CGCGCUUUUGUGCUAAGUGAUGAAUUGUAUCUAAAAUAAGGCAAUAUAAUGUGAAAGAUGAGUAUCCAGUGUUUUAUUUAUGAGAAUAGAUCGACCGGCCUCUAAUAGUUCAGAAGUGAGAUCUGAAACCUAUGAUAGUAACGUGAUUUCAAAGUGUUCCAGGUGACCAAUGUUUCGUGUUAUUUGUCACGAAUGUUAACACAAAACGCCCACGAUUCUAUGAUUAUAAUGGAAUAUGAUGAAGAGAGAAUGUCAAGGAAACCACGCUGACAACUGUGUGAGAUGCAGAAAAGUAUUUAAGUACGAGAAAUGAUGGACGCAAAUUAUGAACAUACUCCCUCCGUAACUUGGCUUGUGGUCACGUAAGUGGUGAACAAUUUGACUAACGAUGGCCCCAGAGCAGAUAUGGUGACUUAUCUGUCUGCGGGUUGGCCCUGUGGUGAGCAAAUCAGUCAAGCACAAUACCUGAGUGAAGCUGAACACUGAACAAGGGUACUUCACAUAAAUGAUUUGGAGUUGGACAGAAGGUAAUGCAAUACAAAAGGGCAUCAGCUGUGAUAUUUGGUGAGUGAAAAUGUAAUACAAAAGGAAUCAGCUGUGAUAUUUGGUGAGUUGAAUUAAUGUUUUAUUGCAAGGGUUGAGCUGAGACUAGCAGUGCCACUGCGGCUUGGUUGUUUAACUGUGCUUAUUCUUGUCAUUGGCAUGAAAUUGCAUACAAUUAACUUGAGUGUGAACAGAUUGUAAUAAUGAAUUGGCUACAGUCUACUGCUAGACUUUAGAACUUCCCAACUGCCGCUAACAGUCUUAAGCAAAAAGUUAUUAUUAAUAAUGGUGAAUAAGAGAGUGAUGUGUUUGAAUAGAAAUAAAUGCUUAUCAUUGGUCAUUAGCAUUGGCCUAUUGUGUGGUAUACUGCUGUACUGUGCGAAAGUUAGCUAUUUACCCGACUGCGCCAGAAGGAGGGUUAUGUUUUUGAAUAAUGGUAUCAAUGGAGCAAAGUACUAGCAGUGAUCAAAUAAAGUUUAUAUUGGUGAUGAUUGUGUUGUGUGCUUCCCUGUAAUGACUGGGUUAACAACAGAUACUUGAAUAUGAAGUCAGUUGCAUUGUGGGUGAAUUUUGGCCAAGCAUGAGAAGAGAAGUAUUGUACUUGUUAAAUUAAAGUUCUUGGAUAUUUCCAUGAAUGCUUGUUCCUAUUUGAGGAUGGUAAGUUCAUGGAAGUAUGUGCAGUUUCCAAAGAUAAUAGUUGGAAGUGUAUUGCUGUCAACACAACAAUAACAGUAAGUUUAUUAUGAUAAAGUUGCAUUUGUGUGUGAAGCAAAUUUGUGUUCACUAAGACACAAUGAAAACAUAAUUUGUUUCACUGUUUAUUACUGGCAUUAUUGAUGAUGAUUUAUGUAGUUGUGUUAUUCAUCUUAAUAUUUUAGAGUUUACAUUGAAAUAUUUUAUUAUUUAAAUAAAGAUAAUUUUAGCAAAUUUCUUAUGAUGUUGUGAUUAUGGGAAUGGUUUGAUAAUAAUAAUAAUAAUAGGGGUAUGAUGUACUAUGUGAGGAUCAUACACCAGUGGGCAUUGUCAUGAAACUGGGUGGACUUUGUCAUUUUGUGUGAGAUGGAUGUCCUGAUAGCUGUGUGAGGAGGACAUGUGGCAUUGUCUUGAAACUGUGUGGACAUUGUCAUUCUGAGUGGGAUGUCUGGUGUGACAUCAGGAAUUGUGAAGAUGUCGUGUCUUGUGUGGGAGACAUCAUGAACUAUGAUGUUUUGGCUUGUGUAGCGACAUCAUAGGGCUGUGUGGCGAGGCGCAAACUGUGUGGAAUGGCCUAAUCUGUGUGGGUUUAAAGAGAAAAUGUUAAAAGAACCAUAACCAAUCCCAUAAAUCAUUUAGGUCCGAUAGUAUUUAUUUUAUUUGUAUUGCAUUGUAUAACUUCAUUAUAAUUACGUCAUUAGGAGUUCACAAUGUUCUAAAUUAAUUCUGAAUAAUACCGAAGAGAAGAGGCAGUAUCAUGAGCAAAUGGAGAACCUACUGAGAAAGGCAUACGCCGGGCGCUGUAGUGGUGACUUCGUGGAAAGCUUCAACGACAUCGAGCAAGCAAAGAAGUGAUUUUUCAAGUGGACGAAGACCACAGGAAGGCGGUCUUCCAUGUCCGGAACUGGAACAGCAACGACGACAGGCUGCUAGCAGUCGCCCCGAGCGGCAGGCGCGCGAAGAAAGGAGCGACUCCCCUAGAAGCUCCUGAAAAGCAGUGGCGCCUCAAGACCGGAUGGGACGAGCCCGUGCUGGAAGACGUCGCAGCAUACUUCGAGAAAUGGCUGUCAGACCUGCAGAUUAUGAAGAGACUGCGUAUUCCUCGAUACUACUACGGGGGGGAGAUAAAUGAAACUCCGAGAGCUGCACAUCUUCUGCGAUGCAGGCGAGGAAGCCUACGCCGCCGUUGCGUAUUGGCACCUCACUUACAACGACAGGAAGGACGCGGAAGUUGUGCUGGUAGCUGCGCGUGCCAAAGUGGCUCCAGUGAAGACACAAACGAUAUCGAGGUUGGAGCUACAAGCAGCAUGAACGGAAGUGCAUCGGCUGCCUGUAGAAGACACUAUCUACUGGAGUGACUCCUAAACUGUGCUGCAUUGGCUGCGGAACGGAAGCCGCCGCUAUACACCCUACGGAGCGCAUCGACUUGAAGAGAUCACCGAGGAGACAAGGCCGUCGGAGUAGCGUUUGAGUACCCACUCACUUGAACGUAGCCGACGUGGCGUCGAGAGCGGGAUACGUGCCUACAUCGGAAGAGGAUGAGUCUGUUGUUCCAAGGGCCGUCGUUCCUUAGAAGACCGAAGUCUGGAUGGCCACGGCAAGAAGGCAAGGACGAUGACGUGACAAUCGAGCAACACUGCAUCUCGUCACUGGGAAGAUCGAGGAUAACGAGACGGUCACAUCGGACCUCUCGCUUUGAAUAUUCCAGAACAUGAGAGACAGAGAUGGCAAUAUCGCGAGAGAAAGGGAAGAGUAUAAAAUAGGGAGCAGGGCAUUCCAGCUGACUAGUUUAAUUCAGAUAAGAAGCGAGUUAAGAAAUCAAAGUGGUCGAAAAGAAAAAGUGAAGAACUCAGAAAUAAAGCUGUCUACAACAAGUACUCUGCCUUCAAGAUUUAUGCCGGUUCCUAGCCCACGAACAUACAGUCCACUGCUCAUCAACAGUGAGGGUUCUUUCCAUUCUUGGAAGUAGAAUGGGUUACAGUUCUAUGAUUUGGAGUUUAUCGGAACCAGUAAGUUGUAUUUUUGUGGUGGUUGAACAAACCUGAUAGAAACCUUGGAUAAAGGCCUAAUUGGGCAUCAAAGGAUGAGUUUCGUCGGUGGUAACAUUUUGGGCAUAUGAGCUAUGGUGCCUAGAUUAAGAUGGCAUGUGUGUGAUCGACAUUAUUGUCAUUAUUGAAGCAGCUGAUUCUAAAA